rnacentral:rRNA from 1 species
GACGAACCGUGCGAACGUUGUUCGGAUUUACUGGGCGUAAAGGGCGCGUAGGCGGCACCGCAAGUCGACUGUGAAAUCUCCGGGCUUAACCCGGAAAGGUCAGCCGAUACUGCGGGGCUAGAGUGCAGAAGGGGCAACUGGAAUUCUCGGUGUAGCGGUGAAAUGCGUAGAUAUCGAGAGGAACACCUGCGGCGAAGGCGGGUUGCUGGGCUGACACUGACGCUGAUGCGCGAAAGCUAGGGGAGCGAACGGG